UUUCUUUCUUGGUAAACCUAGAUAUCUAUUCAAUGGAUUUUGAAACCUCACAUUUGGAUGUGGCCCCCGCGUUGUAAUUGGAGAGCACAUUGGGCAUCCGGUGUUAAGAGUACAUUCCGUUUGGGCAAAUGAAGGCCCCGAUGUAUCUAAUUCUUACAUUUUGAAAACCCAUAUAACUAUGAAAUCUAGUAAAUCUAUCCAUGUCAGUGUAUACUUCUACAUUAACAUCGGGAAUCAACCCAACCCAACGCUAUCAUUGUUUCUGGUUUAUUAGACUCUUCUGAUCAUGUUGGGAGACAUCAUGAGGUUGAUUCACAGACCUCCAGGUUUUAUCCGGCAUUUUGGAUACAAGGUCCUUGUGAGGAAUCGUGCCAUGUCCUCCUAAUUGGGAAUAUUCUCGGCCCCAUCACUAGAGAGGUGGUUAGUUGCUAUCAGAUCUUUCUACAGAGCGGGCCGAGGACACAUAGGGCUCGCUGCUACAACAGUGCUGAGAAACGGAGGUCAGGGAGGGACGUUUGCAUGGCUAAGCCUAAACUCCUAUGUGCAUGCGUAUCCAAGGCAUCAGGAACAAUUGUGUCCGGUUCAUUUUUAUUUACUACACAAAUUAAUGGGUUUUGUGUACAGAAAGCAACUUUGGUUUCCCUUUGUUUGAUUCGUUGAUUUCAGUUUAUAACGUAAAAAUGGUUGAAUUGCCUGAAGAUGCGGGAGACUCCGCCGUCGGCCUCCUUCAUGCUGCUUUGUGUCUCUUGUAGAAAUGGUUAUUGUAUUCCUUUGGCUGUUAAGACAUUCAAGUAUGUGCUAGAGAGCUCUAUGGGGCUCGUACUGAUCCAUCGGCAAAGGUUCCGAGUCUGUACAUAUUUUAUAGAAAUACUGGGGGAACAUAAUAGAGCCACGGAAAUGUGUAUCUCUGUAUUAAGUCACUUAAUAUAUUAUUUCAUUGACGCGAUUCUUUUUACUUUGAUCUUCUCUUGGUCGUCCAAACCAUGUCUGUCGCCGACCAAAGUGACUCAUGCAUAAACUCUUGUUCCGUUUUGUUUUUAAUUUUUAUUACUUUAUUGUUUAUUGUACAAAAUGUUUAUUUGAAUGCAUGGAGUCCUACACUGUUAUUUCAGACUGUGUAUUACUCCGGUUUUUACCACUUGACAUGAAAUAAACUUACAAAUUAAAAUA